AUUGAACGCUGGCGGCAGGCUUAACACAUGCAAGUCGAGCGCGAAAGCACUUCGGUGUGAGUAGAGCGGCGGACGGGUGAGUAACGCGUAGGAAUCUACCUGGUAGUGGGGGACAACUUGUGGAAACGCAAGCUAAUACCGCAUACGACCUAAGGGUGAAAGUGGGGGACCUUCGGGCCUCACGCUAUCAGAUGAGCCUGCGUAGGAUUAGCUUGUUGGUGAGGUAAAGGCUCACCAAGGCGACGAUCCUUAGCUGGUCUGAGAGGAUGAUCAGCCACACUGGAACUGAGACACGGUCCAG
rnacentral:rRNA from 1 species